AUUGAACGCUGGCGGCAGGCCUAACACAUGCAAGUCGAGCGGAGCGGCGGACGGGUGAGUAAUGCCUAGGAAUCUGCCUGGUAGUGGUGGAGAACGUCCGGAAACGGGCGCUAAUACCGCAAACUCUCAGAUGAGCCUAGGUCGGAUUAGCGAGUUGGUGGGGUAAAGGCCUACCAAGGCGACGACCAGUAACUGGUCUGAGAGGAUGAUCAGUCACACUGGAACUGAGACACGGUCCAGACUCCUACGGGAGGCAGCAGUGGGGAAUAUUGGACAAUGGGCGAAAGCCUGAUCCAGCCAUGCCGCGUGUGUGAAGAAGGUCUUCGGAUUGUAAAGCACUUUAAGUUGGGAGGCGUUACCAACAGAAUAAGCACCGGCUAACUUCGUGCCAGUAGCCGCGGUAAUAC
rnacentral:rRNA from 1 species